rnacentral:rRNA from 1 species
AUUGAACGCUGGCGGCAUGCCUUACACAUGCAAGUCGAACGGCAGCACGGAGCUUGCUCUGGUGGCGAGUGGCGAACGGGUGAGUAAUAUAUCGGAACGUACCCUAGAGUGGGGGAUAACGUAGCGAAAGUUACGCUAAUACCGCAUACGAUCUAAGGAUGAAAGUGGGGGAUCGCAAGACCUCAUGCUCGUGGAGCGGCCGAUAUCUGAUUAGCUAGUUGGUAGGGUAAAAGCCUACCAAGGCAUCGAUCAGUAGCUGGUCUGAGGGGACGACCAGCCACACUGGAACUGAGACACGGUCCAGACUCCUACGGGAGGCAGCAGUGGGGAAUUUUGGACAAUGGGCGAAAGCCUGAUCCAGCAAUGCCGCGUGAGUGAAGAAGGCCUUCGGGUUGUAAAGCUCUUUUGUCAGGGAAGAAACGGUGAAAGCUAAUAUCUUUUGCUAAUGACGGUACCUGAAGAAUAAGCACCGGCUAACUACGUACCAGCAGCCGCGGUAAUACGUAGGGUGCAAGCGUUAAUCGGAAUUACUGGGCGUAAAGCGUGCGCAGGCGGUUUUGUAAGUCUGAUGUGAAAUCCCCGGGCUCAACCUGGGAAUUGCAUUGGAGACUGCAAGGCUAGAAUCUGGCAGAGGGGGGUAGAAUUCCACGUGUAGCAGUGAAAUGCGUAGAUAUGUGGAGGAACACCGAUGGCGAAGGCAGCCCCCUGGGUCAAGAUUGACGCUCAUGCACGAAAGCGUGGGGAGCAAACAGGAUUAGAUACCCUGGUAGUCCACGCCCUAAACGAUGUCUACUAGUUGUCGGGUCUUAAUUGACUUGGUAACGCAGCUAACGCGUGAAGUAGACCGCCUGGGGAGUACGGUCGCAAGAUUAAAACUCAAAGGAAUUGACGGGGACCCGCACAAGCGGUGGAUGAUGUGGAUUAAUUCGAUGCAACGCGAAAAACCUUACCUACCCUUGACAUGGCUGGAAUCCCGGAGAGAUUUGGGAGUGCUCGAAAGAGAACCAGUACACAGGUGCUGCAUGGCCGUCGUCAGCUCGUGUCGUGAGAUGUUGGGUUAAGUCCCGCAACGAGCGCAACCCUUGUCAUUAGUUGCUACGAAAGGGCACUCUAAUGAGACUGCCGGUGACAAACCGGAGGAAGGUGGGGAUGACGUCAAGUCCUCAUGGCCCUUAUGGGUAGGGCUUCACACGUCAUACAAUGGUACAUACAGAGCGCCGCCAACCCGCGAGGGGGAGCUAAUCGCAGAAAGUGUAUCGUAGUCCGGAUUGUAGUCUGCAACUCGACUGCAUGAAGUUGGAAUCGCUAGUAAUCGCGGAUCAGCAUGUCGCGGUGAAUACGUUCCCGGGUCU